rnacentral:rRNA from 1 species
CGGAACGGGUGAGUAAUGUAUCGGAACGUAUCCAAUAAUGGGGGAUAACGAGUCGAAAGAUUCGCUAAUACCGCAUACGCCCUACGGGGGAAAGCAGGGGAUCUUCGGACCUUGCGUUAAUGGAGCGGCCGAUAUCUGAUUAGCUAGUUGGUGAGGUAAAGGCUCACCAAGGCGACGAUCAGUAGCUGGUCUGAGAGGACGACCAGCCACACUGGAGCUGAGACACGGUCCAG